AACGAACGCUGGCGGCAGGCUUAACACAUGCAAGUCGAACGCACCGCAAGGUGAGUGGCAGACGGGUGAGUAACACGUGGGGAUCUGCCCAAUGGUACGGAAUAGCUCCGGGAAACUGGAAUUAAUACCGUAUGUGCCCUUCGGGGGAAAGAUUUAUCGCCAUUGGAUGAACCCGCGUCGGAUUAGCUAGUUGGUGAGGUAAAGGCUCACCAAGGCGACGAUCCGUAGCUGGUCUGAGAGGAUGAUCAGCCACACUGGGACUGAGACACGGCCCAGACUCCUACGGGAGGCAGCAGUGGGGAAUAUUGGACAAUGGGCGCAAGCCUGAGCCAGCCAUGCCGCGUGAGUGAUGAAGGCCUUAGGGUUGUAAAGCUCUUUCGCCGACGAAGAUAAUGACGGUAGUCGGAGAAGAAGCCCCGGCUAACUUCGUGCCAGCAGCCGCGGUAAUAC
rnacentral:rRNA from 1 species